rnacentral:lncRNA from 1 species
UGACAAGAGCAAAACUCCGUCUCGAAAAAAAAAAAAUUUUUUAAAGAAAAAGAAAAUAAAAAUAAAACAAACUCACUUUCCUCCCAUACUAUCCUUGUCUUCUGGUGCUGGGUGUUGUAGGACAUUUUCAUGUUGAGAUGUCUUUGUGUGACGAUAGCAGGUGGUCGGCAGUGAGUGAUGAGUAUUCCAGGAAAUCAUUACUAUACAAGAGUACCACACAAGGAAGUGACUGCAAACCACUUACAUACUUCCCCUCAAUUCAAUGAACCCCUAAAUCAACUUCCCCUUUGCCAGGUCCUCCAAAGGCCUAUAGCCACUCCAAUGCCAAUGGAAGAGAGGCAAGAGGUAGAGAAAAUUGGAAUAAAAAGAGAGAGUAGCCUUAAGUUUUAACUGAUUGUGGUUAAAAUAUUUUACUUUUGCAACAUUUACAAAAACACACAUGCAUGUGAAUAGAUCACUAGAGUCCCUCCCAGAACUUACAAAGGACCCCUGCAAGUGAGGGGCUCUGAAAUGUAAGCCUCAUUGUUUUCACCAUAAAUCCACCUCUGUCAGUGAGGGACUGUUUGAGGAGAUGACAUGUAGCUGAAAGCACUUAGAUGACAUUCAGUAAGUUAUUAUUAAUUGGAGACUCAUGGUAAAUCUACUGCAGUCUUUGAAAGCAGAGAUCUCUUGCUCCAUCUUGAGUCUCAGACUAACUUAUACAAGGACAGGAAGACAGCACUUCCCCAGGAAGGCCUCUUUAAAAAUAGAAGCUGCCAGUGUCAGAGACCAUCCCAAAAUUACCGCACUUUGGCCAUCCAUGCAUACAGGGAAUGCACAGUAACAGUCUGAGUGUCUCUGCAGCAUUGGUUGGAAUCUAUAAAGAUCUGAAAUCAAUGCCUUGUUUGACUGUGAUUUGCAUCCUCUUUUUCUUUGCUGGCUCUGGGUCUCUGGGGGAAGGAGUCCCUUGUGCCUGCCAGGUGCUCUUGAUUAGAGUUUGGGGCUCCCAGCAUUGUGAUUAUUUGUUUACCUGCCUAUCUCCUUUGCAAAAGUGAGCUGUGCCAAGCAAGGGCCCUAUCUUAUUUAUGCUUGCAUCCCCAGGGCCUAGCACACAGCCUAGCACACAGAGGGCACUCCAUUCAUGUUUCCAGAUGAAUACAUAAUUGCCUAUCCAGCAAUGUAUGAAAGAAAAAAAAUAUCAUUCCACCCAUUUCUUGAUUUCAUCUCAAAUUCUCCAAAACAGGACAGCCAUUUAUAUUUAAUGAAAUAAAAGAAACUCAAAUAAUGUAUAAUUGAAGAAGGAAGAAGGAUAGGAGCAAGACUUUCCAGUUAUAUCUCAUGGCUCUCAUUCUCAUUUCACCUACACGACUUGGGUAGGAAAGUAUUUUUAGAAUUCAGUAUGCUCAGUUGCAAAAUAAGUGUAUAAACAUUGGUAUCUUUCCUACAUAUGGCUCUGUUCGGUUGGAAAAAAAAAUGAAUAUCGUUUUGCAAUAGCAAAACUAAAUAUUAAAUACCCAUGAAUAAACUUAACAACAAAUACAAAGGCCUAUGUAAAGAAUCCUUUACAAUUUUACUCAGAGACAAAAAAGGAAACAAUCAAAUGAAGUGAGAUACUUUAUUUCUGGAUGAAAAGAUUCAUUGUUAUAAAGGCAUCAAUUUCCAAGUCAAUUUAUAAAUUUAAUGUGAAAAUUUCCACAGCGUAUUUCUUGGAUCUAUUCAAAAUAAUUUUAAACAUUAUCUGAAAGACUAAACUUAUAAAAAUAACCCAUAUCAUUUAGAAAAAUCAGAAGAAUAUGGUUAAUUAUUUAAUGAAACACACCAUAAAGCUAUAGUAUUUAAGGUAUAAUAAAUAAGAUUGCUAGUCAUGACCUCCUAAAUUAUUUCAUAGCCUACUAAGGGUCAUGAACUGCAGACUAAAAAACAUUGGUUUAUAAAUAUCCAAAACUGAGCAGUUUCGUUAAAUAUAUUAUAAUAUACUCAUAAUGCAGAAUAUAUGCCAUUAUUAAAAAUAAUGUGGUAGAACUAUAUAGGUAUGGAAAGAUGUCGACAACGCAUGGGUGAAAAAUUUACUAGAAUCACCCUAUUUUGAAAGGAAAAAAUAUCAUAUAUUUUUAUAUAUGCAGAGAAAGAGCAUAUGGACAGAAAAUUACCAAUAUAUUAACAAUAGCCCAUUUGUCUGUAGCUGCUGGGUUUAUGGGCAAGUGUAAUCUUCUUUUUACUCUCUGUAAUCAAUAUGCAUUAGUACUUAAAAUAUGAAUUUUAAACAUUUUAGACUGUUACAUAAUACAUAGAUUUUGUUCAUUAUUUUCAGGAAAAAUGCAGAUUUGGUCCUUAAUACAUAAUUAAUAUCCAUUACAUGAUUUUUUAGCAAAGAUAUUAUAAAGUUAUAGUACUUAGAGUAUAAUAAAUAAGUUUGCUAGUCAUGACCUCCUAAAUUAUUUCAUAGCUUACCGAAGGUCAUGAACUGCAGUUUUAUUAUAUUUUCUGUCAUUUUCUUUGACAGAAGAUACGAUAAAAUGAAACAUUCUUGAUUUCUUUAACAUUAAAUUUACAGCAGUAAGCAAUCCUCAAUCCAAAUAAUCACAUUUUUAGCUGCAAAAUAGGAAACACUUCUUCCAAUUCCUGUCAUAGAACUUCUCUAAGAAUAAAACAGCUGCUUAGCUAUCAUUGCCUUUAAAGGAAAAAAUACCAUCAUUAAACUGCUGCUUUGGGUAUUUGAGUCGAGGUGCUCUAGUGGCUAUUGUAACACUGUGCCUCCUGUCACGCUACCAACCUGCUGGGUUGAGUAGGCCAUCCAGGCUUAGAGUUGUCUCUAGCCAAGAACGGUAGAAGUCAAGAUUUAUUUAUGCUGGGGCUGCUGAAUAAGGCAGUUACUCAUGAGGACAUUUUUAAACCGGUACAAGUAAACCCAAGCAACCUUUAAGGGGAGAAGUCACAAACAAACACAUUAAGUCUGGAGUUGGACAUGUGUCUUGGAAGAAGAGACAUGGGUGAGGGAAGAUGAUGCUUGCAGAUUUCCAGUGUGCACCUCCCUCUUUAGCUGUGGCUGGUAAACUUACCUGAGUCAUUGAUUUUCUCCCCUCUAGAUGCCGCCCUGAAUUUCACUUUUGUCUGCUUUCAUAAUUGAGUGACCAGAAUAACAGUCUGUCAACCAUUCCACAAAAUAUUUGCCUCAAGUCAAAAAUAUCCUAGAAAAGAGUUGUUGGUGAAUAUAAGGCCAAUUUCAUGCUCUCUUAAAAUAAUGACACUUCCAAGGGUAGAAACUGAAUAAGUUUCAUAGUUCAUGUCUCUUGUUCUAGACUUCUAUAUCAGGAAAUGUUAUAAUUUUCAAGGCAUAUAGAUUCAGUAAAAAAAAAAAAAAAAAAAAAAAAAGACAGAGAGAAAGAAAAGAAAGCUUGAACUCGGGAGGUGGAGGUUGCAGUGAGCCAAGAUCAUGCCACUGCACUCUAGCCCGGUGACAGAGCGAGAUUCUGUCUGAAAAAAAGAAAAAGAAAUGUUACAAUCUCACUGUUUUCGGAAUUCAUUCAUUCCAAAAUUUUGUGCAUCUAUAAGUUGAAAGAACUAGAUGAGAUGAUUUUGAAUAGAAGUACUGAGUGAGAACAUUCUCUAGCACAUUAUCUGGCAAUAUGGGAUGUUGUAAUACAAUGUUAACAGUAUACGGUGUAAAGAUACCAAUGUAUACUGUUAACACUGUAACAGUACACAUUGCCUCAUAAUAUUAAAAACUCUUAUAAACUUCAUCUUAAUGGCAGAAUAAUAUUCUAAGAUGUGAUUAGGAAAUCAUUUUGCAAACCUUGUUUCCAAUAUUUUUGUUAUUUUAAACAAUAUUAUGAUUUCUAACUUUAUGAAAAAAACAUUUUCCAAAUUUCAGGUCAUGCCUUUAGGAUAGAUUUACAAAGUAGAAUUACCAUAAUAAACAUUUUAAGGUUACAUUGCAAAAUUAUUUUCUAAAAGGCUUGUAGCAAUUUUCAUCCCUACCUGCAAUGUAUCAAUAGCCACUUCCUUGUUUCCUCAUUCAUAUUAGGCGUCUCAUUUACAAAAAUGAAUACAUAAAAAACAAUUUUAUAAAAUAUUUGAUACAUUAAUAAGUUAAGAAUUUUGUUCACUGUUGUUUUAAUUUGUAUAUAUUUUUAUUUACAGUGAGAUUAAACACUUUUCCAUAUGUUAUUUGGUCAUUUGUAUUUCCUCCUUUGUGUAUUGUUGUGCAUGCCUUUUGCCUGAAAAGGACCAUUUCCUUUUCAGUAAUAAUCAACAUUAACUACCAUGAUGACUACUAUGACAGGAGAGUUGAUUCAGCUUGGGCUUGCGGGGAGGAAGCAACAGAGGUCUGUCUGCUAGAAAGUGACCUUUGAGUGGAUAUUCAAAUGAUGAUGGUGGGAAGUAGAGAGAUUGGGCAGUAGCUUUCCUGGCAGAGGGACAGAAUCGUUUGUUUUGAGGCAGGUCUGACCUGUGAGUCCAGGGCUGUCCAGAGAAUAAGAAUGCUGGCUCUAAGGGACAUGGACAUUCUGGUCAAAUGAAGAACAUUUUCAUCCAUGCUUUGAUGAGACAGACCUCAAACUACUAUCAUACUACUGUGAUACAAUAGAUGAUGACUACUAUGAUAUGAUUUUUUUUCAUUCCUAGACAAUGUAGUAUAAUAUAAUCUCAUAUCAAAACUCAGGGUCUAAAACCUUCUCCCGUCUAAAGUGCUACCUUAUCAUAAAAUAAUGAAAGGUUUUAAGAUUGCUA